rnacentral:lncRNA from 10 species
UUAGCCAGGCGUUGUGGCGCAUGCCUGUAGUCUCAGCUACUAGGGAGGCUGAGGCAGGAGAAUCGACUGAACCCAGGAGGUGGAGGCUGCAGUGAGCAAACAAAUACAUUUUAAGAGAAAAAUCUUUAACCUAAACCUCACCAUUUAGCUGGGUGUAGAGGCUGAUGCCUAUAAUCCCAGCACUUUGGGUGGCUUAGGCAGGAGGAUCUCUUGAGCCCAAGAGUUCAAGAUCAAGAACAGCCUGUGCCACAUAGCAAGACCUCAUCUCCACAAAAAUUAAAAUUAAAAUUAAAAUUAGCCAGGUACGGUUGUGCAUGCCUGUGGUCCCAGCUACUUGGGAGGCUGAGGGAGGAGGAUGGCUUGAGCCCUGGAGGCCAAUUGUGCCACUGUACUCCAGCCUGGGCGGCAAAGCAAGACACUGUCUCAAAAACUUAAACUAAAUUAAUUUUAAAACCUCAAAAUUUAUAUAAGAAAUUGAAAUGGUAAUAGACUUAACUUUUAAAUAUAACAUUAUAGAACUUUAGAAAAAACAUAGGAGAAUAUAAUUGUGACUUCAGGUAAAGCGAAGAUUUCUAAGAUAGAACACCAAAAACAUAAUUCAUAUUAAAAAAAGAUAAAGUUCAACAAAAUUUAAAACCUUUGCUCUGUGAAAGACAUGGUUAAGAGAAUAAAAAAGCAAGCCACGGACUUAUAGAAUAUAUAUGCAAAUCACAUAUAGGACAAAAGACAUAUAUGUAGAAUAUAUAAAUAAUUCACAAAACUAAAUAAUGGCAAAACAACCCACUUUUUAAAAACAAGCCAAAUAUUUAAACAAAUCCUUGUUUACAGAUUAUGCAUGAAUGUCAAAUAAGAACAUGAAAAGCCAAACAUCAUUAGUCACGAGAGAAAUGCAUAUUCAAACCACAAUAAGAUACUAUUACAGAACUAUUAAAAUGGGUAAAGUUAAAAGAAAACAUUAACACUAGUUAGUGCUGGUGAAGAUGCAGACAAACUGGAACUCCCAUACAUUUUUGCAGUUGCCAAUAACAUAGAAUAUACACUACCCAGAAAUCCAAAUUCUAGGUAUUUACCAAAUGGAAUAAAAACUUAGGUUAACACAAAAAUGUGCUUGCAAAUAUUGAUAGCAGCUUUAUUCAACACUGCUAAGAACUGGAAAGCACUUGAAUUGACUAAUGAACUCUAGUAUAGCCAUACAAUGGAAGACUAUGAUACAUGCAACAAAAUGGAUGAAUCUCAAACGCAUUAUGCUAAGUGAAAGAAGCUAAACAAAAGCCUACAUACUUUAUGAUUCCAUGUAUAUGGCAUUCUGAAAAUGGCAAAACUAUUAGAGUUAGUUAAAAGAUCACAUUAUACAUGGCCAAAGAUUUGACUUAAAAAGGAUAGCACAAGGAAUUAUUGGGAAUGAUAAAGUUUUUAAUUUAUCCUAACUGUAGUGUUGGUUAAAUAUCUAUGUAUUUGUCAAAAAUCAUAGAACUGUACACAGAAAGAGUAAAUGUUACUAUAUGAUAAUUAAAAGUAUAAAUAAAUGAGGAGAAAUAAAUCAGACAAAAACUAAAAAUCCCAGCAGAAUUUCAUUACAAGAGAUGUAAAAGGAAGUUUUUCCAGCAGAAGCAAUAUUUCAGACAGAAAUUUGAAUACACACACACAAAAAUGAUAAAUGCCAAAAUGGAAUAAAUGAAAGUAAAUAUAAAUUUUAUUUUUCUAUUUGUUCUAAUAGAUAAUUGACUAAAGAAAAACUAGUACCAAUCUGGUGUGUCUUUACAGCAUAUGUAGAAGUAAUACACGAUAAUACUACCACAAAGGGCCGGGUGCGGUGGCUCACACCUGUAAUCCUGGCACUUUGGGAGGCCGAGGCAGGCAGAUUGCUUGAGCCCAGGAGUUUGAGACCAGCCUGGGCAACAUGGCAAAACCCUGUAUCUACUAAAAAUACAAAAAAUUAGCCAGGCAUUGUGGCCCACGCCUGUAGUCCAAGCUACUUGGGAGGCUGAGAUGGGAAGACCACCUGAGCCUGGGGAAUUCGAGGCUGCAGGAAGCCAAGAUCAUGCCACUGCACUCCAGCCUGGGCAACGGGAGUGAGACCCUGCCAAAAAAAAAAGGGAAAUUCUGCCAUCUGUGACAACAUAGGUAAACCUGGAGGAAUUAUGCUAAGUAAAAUAGUUUAGACACAGAAAGACAAAUACUGCAUGAUCUCACUUCUAAGUGAAAUCUUAAAAAGUUAAACUCUUGGAAACAGUAGAAAGGUGGUUACCAGAGGCUGGAGGUGGUGAGGGAAAUGGGAAGAUGUUGGUCAAAAGGUAUAAAUUUGCAGUUAUAAUAUGAAUAAUUUCUGGAGACCUAUGGUACAGCAUGAUGACUAUAGUUAAUAAUAAUGUAUAUUUGAAAUUUAAGAAAUCUUGAGUAUUCUCACCAAACAAAAAAAAAGUUACCAUGUGAGAUAAUGAUGUUAUUAGCAGAAUUGUGAUAAUCAUUUCACAAUGGAUAUGCAUAUCAAAGCACCACACUGUACACCUUGAAUAUAUGCAAGUUUUACUUGUCAAUUACACUUCAAAAGCUGGGGUAGAAAACGGUGAUACAUAUACAAUGGGGUAUGAUUCAGUCUUAAAUGGAAGGAAAUUGUGAACUGUUACAACAUGGAUGAACCUUGAAAACGUUAUGCUAAGUGAAAUAAGCCAGUCGCAAAAACAGAAAUAUUAUAUGAUUCCACUUAUUUGUGAUUCCUAGAAUAGUCAAAUUCUUAAAGAUAGAAAGCAAAACGGUGUUUACCAGGGACUGGAGGGAAAGGAGAAUGGGGAGCUAGUGUUUAGAGAGUACAGAGUUUCAUUUGGUGAAGAUGAAAAAGUUCUGGAGAUAGAUGCACUGAUGGUUCACAACAAUGUGAAUGAACUUAAUGUCACAGAACUGUUCUCCUAAAAAUGGUUAAAAUGGUAAAUUUUUCUUUACGUAUUUUUUACCACAACAAAAAAGAAGGCGGGAUUUAAAAAGGGGUAGAGAAACACAAAACACAUGAGAUAAAUAGAAACAAAUAAUUUAAUGGCAUACAUAAAUUCAACUAUAUCAACAAUAUAUAAAAUAUAAAUAAGGCGUGAGCCACUGCACUCGGCCUUAUUAAUACAUUUUAAAGGAUUUGAAUCAUAGAAGGUGCAUUCAUCCAAAAAAUUAAAAUGAUAAAUUAUAAAUCAACAACAGAAGGAAAUUUGGAAAUUCUACAAAUAUUUGGAAUUAAACAACAUACUUCUAUGUAAUCCAUGGACAAAAGAAAUCACAAGGAAAAUUUAAAAUAUAUUGAGCUGAAUAAAACAGAACAAACUCAUCUAUUUCACAAGAGAAGAAAGAUCUCCCAUCAAUAACCUAAACUUGUACUUUAGUAAAUGAGAAACAGAACACACUGAACCCAAAGCAAACCAAAUGAAGGAAAUAAUGAAAAUUAGAGCAGGAAUCUACAAAAUAGAAAACAGAAUAACAAUAGAGAAAGUCAAUGAAACCAAAAGCUGAUUCUUCAAAAAGAUCAACAAAUUUGACAAAACUUUAGGUAAACUAACCAAGAAACAAAGACAGACAACACAAAUUAUCAAAUCUGAAUGAAAGAAGAGACAUCACUACUGACCUUACUGAAAAAAAGUUAAAAAGAUUAUAAGCAAAUUCUAUGAACAAUUUUAUGACAUCAAAUUAAAUAACUUGAAAAAUACAAAUACAUUCAACACAAAUUACCAAAACUAACUCAGGAAGAAAUGCAAUAAAUAGAAAAUCUAACAGAAAUUUAACAAGAUACCGAAUCAGGAAUCUUGCCUCAAAGAAAAGCCCAAGCCCAGCUUGCUUUGCUGCUGAAUUGUAACAAACAUUUAAAGAAUAAACAAUAACAAUCUUUCACAAAUUCUUCCAAAAAAUAAAAGUAACACUUCCCAACUUAUUCUAUAAGGCUAGCAUUAUUCUGAUACCAAAAACAGACAGAGACAUCACAAGAAAACUAUAUACAAAUAUACCUUUUGAAUAGACAUAAAAAUUCUCAAGAAAGUAGUAGCAAAAUGAAUCCAGUGGCAUAUGAAACGUAUUAUACACUAUGUCCAAGUGCUAUUUACUCCACGAACAUGUAAGGUUGGUUUAACAUUCAAAGAUCAAUUAAUGCAAUACGCUAUAUUGGUAGAAUUAAAAGAAAACCUAUAUAAUCAUCUCGAUAAAUGCAGAAAAAGCAUGUAACAAAUGCAACACUCAAUCGUGAUAAAAAAAUUUCUCAACAAACUAAAAAUAAAAUGGAACUUCCUCAGCCUGAUAAAGGGCAUCUACAAAACCUACAAUAGACAUUAUAUUUAAUAGUAAGAGACUCGGUAUUUUCCUCCUAAGGUUGGAAAUAAGUCAAGGGUGUCUGCUUUCACCACUUCUACACAACAUUGUCCUAGUCAGUAUAGUGAGUUGAGAAAAAGAAAUGAAAAGCACAUCGAUUGUAAAGGAAGAUGUAAAACCAUUUUAUUCACAGAUGAUAUGAUCCAGCCAAACUGAAAAAACUUAUGCCCUGAACCUGCUUAACAAAUCAUAAAAGCAUGACCCAAAACGAUCAAACUGUUUCAGAAUAACUUAACUGCAUCAAAGAACAAAGCUCAAAAGUUCAUAAGAAUACAAAAAUAUGCAAGCAAUGAAAACGGCAAAAUUCACAGGGCCUGGCAUCAAAUCAAAGAUUACUGGUUAUGCAAAAAAAAAAAAAAAGCAGAAAAAUAUGACCCAUAAUGAGAAUAAUCAACAAAGCUGACUGAGAAUUUCCAAAGAUGUUAGAAUUAUCAGAGAAGUACAUUAAACAUUUGUUAUCUAUAUUCCGUAUGUUCAAACAGGUAAAUAGAGGAAUAAAAAAUAUUUUCAAACACCCAAAUUUAAUUUCUAGAGAUGAAAACUACAAUGUCUGAGUUGAAGAAAUACACUGGAGGGACAAACAGCACACUAGACAAUGCAGAAGAAAAUAUUUGUGAACUUGAAGGCAUAAAAUAGAAACUACCGAGACUCUGUCUCAAAGAAAAGAAAAAAAGAGCUCUCCCUCUCCCUCUCCCUCUCCCCAUGGUCUCCCUCUCCCCAUGGUCUCCCUCUCAUGCCCAGCCGAAGCUGGACUAUACUGCUGCCAUCUCGGCUCACUGCAACCUCCCUGCCUGAUUCUCCUGCCUCAGCCUGACUGGUUUUCGUAUUUUUUUGGUGGAGAUGGGGUUUCGCUGUGUUGGCCGGGCUGGUCUCCAGCUCCUAACCGCGAGUGAUCCGCCAGCCUCGGCCUCCCGAGGUGCCGGGAUUGCAGACGGAGUCUGGUUCACUCAGUGCUCAAUGGCGCCCAGGCUGGAGUGCAGUGGCGUGAUCUCGGCUCGCUACAACCUCCACCUCCCAGCCG